AGUUAGGCAUGUUCCACUGAUGACAAAGAAUCUGAUAUCUUUGAUUCUUCUUGAUAGCAUGCAAUGGUUUCAGUUUUCAAGGUGAAGGUGGAGUUAUGAGUGUUUACAAAGGUUCAAAGGUGGUUAUGAGAGGUAUUAAAAAUGGUACCUUAUAUAUUCUUCAAGGUUCUACUGUGACAGGUUCUGCUGCUGUUGUAACACUCCGAUUUUUGAAACAGUUUAUUAUUUAUUUCAUUAACUAUAUUAUAUAUUUUAGUUUAUUUAAUAAUUAAAUUCAUUUAUCUAUUAGGAAUUAUUUUGUAAAUAAUAUAUAUGCUUAUAGUGGGACAAGUUUAGUAAGUAAUUUAACUAAUAAUAGUAAUAAGAGGAUAUAUACUCACAUAUAUUUAAGAAGGGGGAAAAGGAAAAAAAAAAUACAAGAAAAGAAAAAGGAAAGAAAAAAAAAUAACAAACGUACAAAAGAACGACAUUCACCACCGUUCAUCUUCGUUAUCUUCACCAUCUUCACCAAUUUCUUCUCUCAAAAUUCUCCCUUCAUCACACAACCACCACCGUGCCGACGACACAACCACAACCGCCACUAGAGGUGACGCCAUAGAAGUAGGCGGCGCAAGGAAGAAAAGGGGGGUCGUCGUUACGUUGCUGUAAUUUGGAGCAUUUGGUGCUCGAAUUAGGGGCGUUUGCAAGUUAUUUCUCAUCCCCAAUCAUCUAUAUUAGUGGAUUCCGGUUUCAUUGAGGAGCCGUAUUGACUGAGCUAGUUGGUUUGAUAUAGUUUAAAAGGUACAUGAAGGCUUAGAGUCGGGGUAUGGGCGGAGAGCAACGUCCACUAGUUUUGCGUAAAUAUAAUUAUAAUAGUUCUGUUCUGGUGCAUUUCUUAUAUAUAAUCAAUAUUUUGAGACUUAGGGUUGUAAAUAUUAAUCCACCUAAAUCUUUAUUCGGUUGGGUUGUAAUAGUUUAAAAUAACUUUAAAUUAGUUUUGGUGCAGGUAGUUCUUCCUUAGCGAUUAUUCUCGUAAUAAUCGUGGAAUAACACGUUUGGAUUUCGAGUAGUUAUACAGGAAUUUCGUUGGUAUUUGAAA